rnacentral:rRNA from 1 species
GUUGUAUGGUUAAGUGACUAAGCGUACACGGUGGAUGCCUUGGCAGUCAGAGGCGAUGAAAGACGUAGUAACUUGCGAUAAGCCCAGAUUAGGUAGUAACAACCAUUUGAGUCUGGGAUUUCUGAAUGGGGAAACCCACGUGCAUAAGCACGUAUCCUUACCUGAAUACAUAGGGUAAGGAGGCGAACCGGGGGAACUGAAACAUCUAAGUACCCCGAGGAAAAGAAAUCAACCGAGAUUCCGAAAGUAGCGGCGAGCGAAAUUGGACUAGCCCUUAAGCUUUACACGCGUUAGACGAACGGUCUGGAAAGUCCGACGAUACAGGGUGAUAGUCCCGUAGUUGACGACGUGUGUUCAGUGAAAUCGAGUAGGGCGGGACACGUGAUAUCCUGUCUGAAUAUGGGGGGACCAUCCUCCAAGGCUAAAUACUACUGACUGACCGAUAGUGAACCAGUACCGUGAGGGAAAGGCGAAAAGAACCCCUGUGAGGGGAGUGAAAUAGAACCUGAAACCGUGUACGUACAAGCAGUAGGAGCAGGCUUUGUCCUGUGACUGCGUACCUUUUGUAUAAUGGGUCAGCGACUUAUAUUCAGUGGCAAGGUUAACCAUCUAGGGGAGCCGUAGGGAAACCGAGUCUUAACUGGGCGUUCAGUCUCUGGAUAUAGACCCGAAACCAGGUGAUCUAGCCAUGGGCAGGUUGAAGGUUGAGUAACAUCAACUGGAGGACCGAACCGACUAAUGUUGAAAAAUUAGCGGAUGACUUGUGGCUAGGGGUGAAAGGCCAAUCAAACCUGGAGAUAGCUGGUUCUCCCCGAAAGCUAUUUAGGUAGCGCCUCGGACGAAUACUACUGGGGGUAGAGCACUGUUAAGGCUAGGGGGUCAUCCCGACUUACCAACCCUUUGCAAACUCCGAAUACCAGUAAGUACUAUCCGGGAGACACACGGCGGGUGCUAACGUCCGUCGUGGAGAGGGAAACAACCCAGACCGCCAGCUAAGGUCCCAAAUUACUACUAAGUGGGAAACGAUGUGGGAAGGCUCAGACAGCCAGGAUGUUGGCUUAGAAGCAGCCAUCAUUNNNNNNNNNNNNNNNNNNNNNNNNNNNNNNNNNNNNNNNNNNNNNNNNNNNNNNNNNNNNNNNNNNNNNNNNNNNNNNNNNNNNNNNNNNNNNNNNNNUUAUUGGGUAGGGGAGCGUUCUGUAAGCGGUUGAAGGUGUGUGGUAACGCAUGCUGGACGUAUCAGAAGUGCGAAUGCUGACAUGAGUAACGAUAAAGGGGGUGAAAAACCUCCUCGCCGGAAGACCAAGGGUUCCUGUCCAACGUUAAUCGGGGCAGGGUAAGUCGACCCCUAAGGCGAGGCCGAAAGGCGUAGUCGAUGGGAAACGGGUUAAUAUUCCCGUACUUCUUACAAUUGCGAUGGGGGGACGGAGAAGGCUAGGUGGGCCUGGCGACGGUUGUCCAGGUUCAAGUGCGUAGGCUUAAGAGUUAGGUAAAUCCGGCUCUUUUUAAGGCUGAGACACGACGUCGAGCACCUACGGGUGUGAAGUCAUUGAUGCCAUGCUUCCAGGAAAAGCCUCUAAGCUUCAGAUUGUAAGGAAUCGUACCCCAAACCGACACAGGUGGUCGGGUAGAGAAUACCAAGGCGCUUGAGAGAACUCGGGUGAAGGAACUAGGCAAAAUGGUACCGUAACUUCGGGAGAAGGUACGCUCUCGACGGUGAAGUCCCUCGCGGAUGGAGCUAUUGAGAGUCGCAGAUACCAGGUGGCUGCAACUGUUUAUUAAAAACACAGCACUGUGCAAAAUCGUAAGAUGACGUAUACGGUGUGACGCCUGCCCGGUGCCGGAAGGUUAAUUGAUGGGGUUAGACUUCGGUCGAAGCUCUUGAUCGAAGCCCCGGUAAACGGCGGCCGUAACUAUAACGGUCCUAAGGUAGCGAAAUUCCUUGUCGGGUAAGUUCCGACCUGCACGAAUGGCGUAAUGAUGGCCACGCUGUCUCCACCCGAGACUCAGUGAAAUUGAAAUCGCUGUGAAGAUGCAGUGUACCCGCGGCUAGACGGAAAGACCCCGUGAACCUUUACUACAGCUUGGCACUGAACAUUGACCCUACAUGUGUAGGAUAGGUGGGAGGCUUUGAAGCACGUACGCCAGUAUGUGUGGAGCCGUCCUUGAAAUACCACCCUUGUAGUGUUGAUGUUCUAACGUUGACCCCUAAUCGGGGUUGCGGACAGUGCCUGGUGGGUAGUUUGACUGGGGCGGUCUCCUCCCAAAGAGUAACGGAGGAGCACGAAGGUGGGCUAAUCACGGUUGGACAUCGUGAGGUUAGUGCAAUGGCAUAAGCCCGCUUGACUGCGAGAAUGACAAUUCGAGCAGGUGCGAAAGCAGGUCAUAGUGAUCCGGUGGUUCUGAAUGGAAGGGCCAUCGCUCAACGGAUAAAAGGUACUCCGGGGAUAACAGGCUGAUACCGCCCAAGAGUUCAUAUCGACGGCGGUGUUUGGCACCUCGAUGUCGGCUCAUCACAUCCUGGGGCUGAAGUCGGUCCCAAGGGUAUGGCUGUUCGCCAUUUAAAGUGGUACGCGAGCUGGGUUUAGAACGUCGUGAGACAGUUCGGUCCCUAUCUGCCGUGGGCGUUGGAAGAUUGAAGGGGGCUGCUCCUAGUACGAGAGGACCGGAGUGGACGAACCUCUGGUGUUCGGGUUGUGUCGCCAGACGCAUUGCCCGGUAGCUAAGUUCGGAAUCGAUAACCGCUGAAAGCAUCUAAGCGGGAAGCGAGCCCUGAGAUGAGUCUUCCCUGAUACUUUAAGUAUCCUAAAGGGUUGUCGGAGACUACGACGUUGAUAGGUCAGGUGUGUAAGUGCUGUGAGGCAUUGAGCUAACUGAUACUAAUUGCCCGUGAGGCUUAACCAUACAACACCCAAGGGGUUU